GAGGAUCUCUCCCUUUUCCUUUCUUCUUUUUUUUCCCCUCAGCAACGUACCUAUUGGUGGGGUUUCUUUUUCUGCUCACUUGAACACGAACAGGGUGACUGGAAGAAGAAGAGACUUCCAAAGACAGGGAGCAGGCCUGGGAACAGUGUCCCGCCCACACUGAGGCACCUUGCACUGUCUGCCAAUGAGAACAUUAGGGAAGGACGGAGACAAGUUAUUGCAGUCCAGCAAGUGGGAGAACACCAGCUAUUCUGAGACACCUGGGCUAGUGCACUAUGCUGAGUGGAAUGAGGUCUGAAGAAGCACCACUCAGCUGUCCAGGAGCUCCUCUGAUGGGUUUGCCCCUUCCCAAUUUACAAGGAGAACAAAGCCGAUCCUCUGCAGGUUUUUACUGACAGUCAGUCUAUCCAGCUGUCCAGCAACAUACAAUAUGUAUAAACAAGUCGUAUGCUUCUGUGCAUUCAUCUGUAUUGUACAUCAAUGUAUCUGCAGAUUAACUGGGAUCUCCUAGCUAGUUGCCAGUGUAGUUCUCAGUCACCAGGGCUAGACAAUCGUGUACUGAACAGAGUGUUCACUGCAGGGGAGAUAGCUUAUUGUGUAAACUUCCCCUAUGUAGUAUAUAAAUUUGUAGUUUAAAAAAUUA